rnacentral:lncRNA from 1 species
UUUAUAUGGUAACCUUCAUUAGUUACACAGUGUCCCAUCUCCAGAGGUUUACAUUCAAAGUGUCAGCUGGAUAUCGGGGCUCAGUGGUAUGUGCUUCCUUCCAUCCUUGUGAGCAGCAGUUACAAGUUUUCCUCUCCAUUAAAAUGGGGGGGGGGGUUUGGAUUGUUUUCAUCUUCUUGUCCUGUAAUCAUUUUUUACACUUUUGGGACACAUGCCACAGUGAACACGUGGAGGUCAAAGGACAACUCGCAGAAGGCACUUGUCCUCACAGUGUGGGUCGGGGGGAUUGAACUCAGGUCAUCGGGGUUGGCUGGCAGGGCCUUUACUUUGUGAACUGUCUUGCUGGCCUAUUGCCAUCUUGCUCAGGUUACUGAGUGAGAACUUGCUCUGUCUGUUGAUUGUAUUCUUUGUAGAUUGCUUGGUCGUGUCUCUUCUUGUCCUUAGGGGGAAUGUUUAUAUUCAUUGAUUAAUUUAUUUGGCAUUUACCUCACCAACAAUAUUGACCCCGUGCUGUCUGAUCUUAUGUUUAAGUACAUUUUUAAGCCAUUUAUUUAUUUUUAUUUUCUGCUCUUUGGUGUUUUGCCUGCAAGUAUGUCUGAAGAUGGCAGAUCCCUGAAACUGGAGUUACAGAUGGUUGUGAGGUGCCAUGUGGUUGCUGGGAAUUGAACCCAGGUUCUCUGGAAGAGCAGCCAGUGUUCUUAACUGCUGAGCCAUCUCUCCAGCCCCAAGUACAUUUUUUUGAUAAAAGUUAAAAAUUAUGCCCCCCUUAAUUCUAAAUGUAAAACUUUAGCAGUAAAGAAAUUGGCGUUUGAUGAAAAGAAAAUACUAUAAACUGACUAUGAAUCUUAAGUGAUCAGAUCCACAAUUUAAGUCCCUGGAGAUCCUGCCCUUCCUUUCCUGGGACAGGCGUGGGGUCCAGCAGGUUGUGUAGCUGAAGACGGCCUUGCCUCCUGAUCUUUGCCUCCUGAUCUUCCUCUACUGAUAUGAUCACUGUGGACCACCGUGUCUGGUGUAGCUUUGAUUUUGAUUUUUCUGAACUUGUUUUGAGAGCUGACACCUCGGCAUUUCUGGCAUUUUCUUAGCCUCUUGCUGUCAUGCUGUGAUGUUACCACUUUUUGUGUGUGCUCCAUCUUUUCCUGCAACUAAUUCCUUAGGCCCUAGAAACUCAGUUAUUCUAUUCUUUCAUGGGAGACAGAUCCAGUAGAAUAAUAGCCAAUUGUAUAACCACUAGAUGGCAGAAUAGGACAUGUCAGAGCUAUGGACUUGUGACAUAGGAGUGUGUGUCUGUGUGUGUGUGUGUGUGUGUGUGUGUGUGUGUGUGUGUGUGUUUGGUGUGUGUGUGUUGAACUCUUACUCCAUCUUGUGGUGAUAUAAAAUUAUAUCAAUGGCUUGAAUUACUAAUAUUCAUACAUAUAUCCC